rnacentral:rRNA from 1 species
ACGAACGCUGGCGGCGUGCUUAACACAUGCAAGUCGAACGGAGAGACAUGGAAGCUUGCUUCUAUGAAUCUUAGUGGCGAACGGGUGAGUAACGCGUAAUCAACCUGCCCUUCAGAGGGGGAUAACAACGGGAAACCGUUGCUAAUACCGCGUACGAUAUGCUUUCGGCAUCGAGAGUAUAUGAAAGGUGGCCUCUAUAUAUAAGCUAUCGCUGAAGGAGGGGAUUGCGUCUGAUUAGCUAGUUGGAGGGGUAACGGCCCACCAAGGCGAUGAUCAGUAGCCGGUCUGAGAGGAUGAACGGCCACAUUGGGACUGAGACACGGCCCAA